AACGCACGAGACCUGCGGACCUGCGGAAGGAUCAUUAAUGAGAAGCUGCCCCUCGUGGGUAGACCUCCCACCCUCUGUGAACUUACCUUUGUUGCUUUGGCAGGCCCGUCCUCUGGACCGCCGGCUUCGGUUGGCCCGUGCCUGCCAGAGGAUUCCAAACCCUGUCUGUCAGUGUUGUCUGAGUCUAUAUGAAAUCGUUAAAACUUUUAACAAUGGAUCUCUAGAUCGGAAGAGCACACG
rnacentral:misc_RNA from 1 species